GUAAAAUUAAGACUUGGACGCCUAACUGACUGAGCCACCAAGGCGCCCCACAUCAUGAACUUCUAAUUGGAGCCAUAACUCUAUAAGUUAGGAGCAUGAGCUUCUUUCAUAAAGGAUUCCUUAUUAUUUCUGAUGAACAAGUUAUGACCAAAGAUGGCUCCAUAUUGUGCUACACAUUUACCCAACCACUGAUAAAAAAAUAUGACCUUUCUAUGACCAUUUGAAGUAACACAGCAGUCUGUACCUUGCUGGGAGCAUUCCGUAUUUAACCUCCCUCUUCUGUGUCAUUCCAAUGAGCAUUUUCUACCUGCUGAGUUCCUCAUUAAUGGGCAAUAAACUUCGACACAAGUUCA